rnacentral:rRNA from 1 species
CAGUAGCCACGGUAAUACAGAGGAUGCAAGCGUUAUCCGGAAUGAUUGGGCGUAAAGCGUCUGUAGGUGGCUUUUCAAGUCCGCCGUCAAAUCCCAGGGCUCAACCCUGGAUAGGCGGUGGAAACUACCAAGCUGGGGCACGGUAGGGGCAGAGGGAAUUUCCGGUGGAGCGGUGAUAUGCGUUGAGAUCGGAAAGAACACCAACGGCGAAAGCACUCUGCUGGGCCGACACUGACACUGAGAGACGAAAGCUAGGGGAGCAAAUGGGAUUAGAUACCCCUGUAGUCCCUGUCUCUUAUAA